rnacentral:tRNA from 1 species
GCCGCGUUCGUCUAGUGGCCCAGGACGCCGGGCUUUCAUCUCGGAAAUCACGGGUUCGACUCCCGUACGCGGUA